GCAGGGAUAGGAUGUGUUAGGGUGGUUAGGGUGUUUGACUCCCAAUCAAAUGGUUCUGGGUUCAAACCCCGAAGUCUGCA